rnacentral:misc_RNA from 1 species
AAGUCGUAACAAGGUUUCCGUAGGUGAACCUGCGGAAGGAUCAUUAACACGUCUAUUUAACAACUUACACGUGAACCCCUAUCGCUUUGGUCGAAUCCAUUAGCAAUGUAAAUUGAUGAUGGUUUCUUCCAAAGUUCUUUGCUAUCUCUUAAUUGGGAUAGCAGAGGCGGCGGAGAGUUAAGUUCGCUUGACUUUCCGUCGUUGCAGUUCAAUCCAAUUUUAGUAUUAUACUGUGAAUGUCACAACCAAAAUAUAACACUUUCAACAGUGGAUAUCUUGGCUCCC